UGCAGCAGUGUGCAGUGAGAUAUAUGUAAUUUUUAGGCCGUUAACAUUUCUUGUUAUAUUUUGUUUCAAUUGAAUUUCCACUUUCCUAGAUGUUUCAUUCUUAAUCCUUUUCUACAUUAAGUCCCAUAGGGCAGGUUAUAUGUGUUAAUGUAUAGGCUUAGAGAAAGCCAAGCCAAAGAGCAAACUGUAGGUCCACCCUAUAUUGUUCCAAUUUGAAUGGGUUAAUCAAGUUCAUUGUCUGGUUUUCUGUUAAGACAUGGUCAAAGUACCAGCAACUCUAAUUGGGUAACAAUAAGUAACUUUAGAACUUAGUAAAAGAAUAAUCUAUGUUGGUUCAGUUUCUGCAUGCUUUAUAUAGAGAGAAAAAGCUUUCAGCUAUCAGUUGUAUCAAAGUUUUCAGAGAGAGAGAGAGAGCGACAGAGAUUCAGAGAAAGAGAUAGAACUCCUAAUUUGUACUUUUGACAAGCUUCUCAUCUAGAUUUUACAAGUUUGCUAUAUAAGGUGUAAUCUGCUUAAAGCCUCCAAUUGUAUUUUAUCUCAAUCUUGGUUCGUCUGGGAUGAUGAAAUAAAGCACCAUUUCACAUAAGCCAACGCCAUUUUUGUGAAUAUAUUUCUUUUGGAGUGUAUUGACUUUGAAACUCCGCAUUGGUUACCAAGGGUAAAGUGCGGCAGUCACA